CGCCGCCGGCGCCCUCCAUGGUGAAUCGGUCCCCGCGAUGUCUUCACGGCGGGCGGCCCCCAGGCUCGCUCCGGCCUAAGCGCUGGCUCCCUCCACACGCGGAGAAGAGAAGGAAAGGACUACAGUUCAACUGUCAAUUGGUUGAUCACCCGGAUUUUAUCUACACCUUAGCCUAUGGUUGUUCAUCUCGUCUCUGCCUAUGGCCCAUUGACUCCCGGAUCCCAGCUCCAUUCUUCGGUACUUUACGCACCCUGCUUCCAGUACCCCAACCAGAAGAAUAUAUAUAGCAGUUAACUGUCAGCUGGCGAAAAGGAGGAAAAUUCAGGAAGAUAAAAUAGCUGAAUGAAUUAUCCCCGCUCCAGAACGCAGAGGAAAAAUGAAAUGGCCAGACCCAGAUGUUAAAAAUGUGUUCCUUGCUCUUUCCUGCCCUAGCAAGGGCUGUUCCAUGUUUAGGGGAUGAAUGCCGCUGAGAGUAUUAGCAAAAAUACAUGUGUCAUUGAGUCUGAGGAAGAUAACUGAGACAUACAGGUAUUUCUCAUAAUGCAUGUGGGCAUCCAUAGACAUAUUCUUAAAUGGCUUAAGGACUUGGAAACUACCUCUAGGAAACCUGAAACUUGAAUGUUGGUCCACUAGGGAGAAGAAAUGUUCCAUUAG
rnacentral:lncRNA from 1 species